GUUUUAAGGGAUUGAAGGAUAAGUUGGUCAAAAAAUGGUGAAGGCUGUGGCCAUUUUGGGAAGAAAGACAUUCAACCACUUUCUGCUCUACACUUCUACACAAUCUCUUGCUUUCUUCCUGCUUCACCAUUAUUAUUCUCUCUGGGCUUACAACUCUUUUACAUGGAGAUCCCUUAUUUCUUCUUCAUGCUAUCCUAAUUCUCCUCCACUUUUUUCCCACCAUUUUUUUUUUUUUUUUGUGUUUUUCCGCUUCUUAACUCCUUAUGGCGGGUCAACCGUCAGAUUCUUCCCCUCUUAUUCCUCCGGCGCCGAUCACCGACCCUAGUGAGAUCGACCUUGAAGCUGGUCAAGGGGAACAAAUUCAGUGUAGAAUUUGCCUUGAGACCGAUGGUAGGGAUUUUAUUGCUCCUUGCAAAUGCAAAGGGACAUCCAAAUAUGUUCAUCGAGAAUGUCUGGAUCAUUGGCGAGCCGUGAAGGAAGGGUUUGCUUUUGCUCACUGUACCACAUGUAAGGCCCCUUACCAUUUGAGAGUACAUGCUGUUGCUGACAGAAAAUGGCGAACCCUGAAAUUUCGAUUUUUUGUGACUAGAGACAUUAUAUUUAUAUUUUUGGCGGUUCAGCUUGUAAUUGCUUCUCUGGGAUAUUUGACAUACUUAAUAGAUGGUUGUCAACAUUACUGGCUUCGUCUUACUUGGGGUUUUGAUAGCAAAAUUAGUUUUUAUUACAUAUGCGGGGCUUUAUUAUUUUUUGCAUUGCUCGGCGUAUCUGGCUGCUUCAUCACUUGUUAUGAUCGAAGAGUUAGGAGUGAUUUGGCUCAACCAUGUAGAGAAUUGUGUCUAUGUUGUUGCCACCCUGGACUAUGUGCAGACUGUCAUUUACCUGGUACUCUUUGUAUGUGGACCGACUGUACCACUUGCUUCGAAAGUUGUGGAAGCAUUGCAACUGAAUGUGGAUGCCUAGGAGGUGCUGGUGAAGCAGGACUGCCAUUAUUACUUAUAAUGGCCUUGAUUGUUCUUGGUUUGUUCACAGUGAUUGGUAUAUUCUAUAGUGUCUUGGUGGCUACCAUGGUUGGCCAACGAAUAUGGCAACGACACUAUCACAUACUUGCGAAAAGAAUGCUAACAAAGGUGGAUGCCCAGCUGGCCGAGCACAUCCAUUCACGAGGGCUGUCUUAUUGGUCUUUGGGAUGAGAAAGAUAACAGGAGUGGGGGACACUAAAACCAAAUGACAUAUUCCCAUGGAUGGAUUGAUUGUGAAUCGACCAUUUUUGUAGGAGGUUGGAGGAUCAACCAGCAAUUUUCGGAUGGAAUAUGUUGUGGAAGAUGUAGAUGGGGAGAUGACAGGAUCUGACUGGUUGCCUCCACCACUUCCUGCAGAGCACGUUCAACAGCUCAAAACUCUUGGCCUUUUAUGAGAUGAAAUGUGUCAGUUUUUCACUUUGCCCAGAAGAGCACCUGUUGAAGCUUGAACUCACCAUAUGCUUUUGCUGCUCAGUUGCACUUACUACAAGUUACUUUGGACCAAGAAAGUCCUAUACAUAUGCUCUCAGAUGUGUGACACCCUCAGCCUUUUCUUCUGUAUUCUUAGAAUGGCUAGCUUGAUGAAGCUCGUGAUCUUUCUUACUUUCUUUCGUCUUAUCCGUUUGAGGAAAGGGAAUGGGAACGAAUUUGAAUACCUACAAUCAAAACUGACAAAUGUCUCCAAAUUAAUAUGCUUUUAACGUUUCUCUUACUGAGUAUAAAGUAUAUUAUAUUUGUGAGUUUUCUACUAUCA